GAAACUCAACAAACACUGAAGUGUGAUCUGAUCAAAGUCUGUCUUCUGUGGACCUGCUGACAACAACAUGCUGCACUGGUCUGUUGUGUUGCUGCUUUGUGCGCUCACUGCUGUUUCUCUUGCAGCUCCUGUCAACAAGGAAUCGACGGAUGACGAGAGAACUGCACAACUGCUGACACACCUGAACGGACAUGGUACAGAUACACCCGUGACAGCACAACCAGAUGCUUCUGACAGCAAAGAACAAACUGAAGCUCCCUCAGAAUCAGAUGAGACCACUGAAUCACCAGCUGACUCAGAUGACAGACAUGACAGUAGUUCUGUGAUGGACAACUCUGAAGAUGACAGCAAAGCUUCCCCUGAGCAGAGCGAAGCAGAAUCAGCAGAGACAACUGAAGCUCAAGGUGACCAGAGUCAGGAGUCUGAGGUGGACGCCUCUGAGGAUGAUAAUGACGGACCUUCUGAUGCAGAAUCAGCAGAGACAACUGAAGCUCAAGGUGACCAGAGUGAGGAGUCUGAGGUGGACGCCUCUGAGGAUGAACUGGUUGAUCCUGCUGACGGUAAUUUGUCUUUCCAUCUUUGCUCAGUAACUCUUUAUAGUAACAGGCAAAGUAAUUGA
rnacentral:lncRNA from 1 species